rnacentral:rRNA from 1 species
UUCGCAAUGCCCGAAAGGGUGAACGAGCGACGCCGCGUGCAGGAUGAAGGACUUCGGUUUGUAAACUGCUUUUCUACGGGAAGAAUACCUGGAUCGUGCAUCUGGGGGAGACGGUACCGUGGGAAUAAGCCUCGGCUAACUCCGUGCCAGCAGCCGCGGUAAGACGGAGGAGGCGAACGUUAUUCGGAAUCACUGGGCUUAAAGCGCGCGUAGGCGGGCCGGCACGUCCGUCGCUGAAAGCCCCCGGCUCAACCGGGGAAGUGGAGCCGAAACGACCGGUCUGGAGGGACGUAGGGGGACCUGGAACUUCCGGUGGAGCGGUGAAAUGCGUUGAGAUCGGAAGGAACGCCCGUGGCGAAAGCGAGGUCCUGGACGACUGCUGACGCUGAGACGCGAAAGCUAGGGGAGCAAGCGGGAUUAGAUACCCCGGUAGUCCUAGCCGUAAACGAUGGGCACUAAGUAGAGGGGUUUU